rfam:Triticum urartu cultivar G1812 contig144169, whole genome shotgun sequence.
UUUAUAUUCCCUUCGUCCGAAAAUACUUGUCAUCAAAAUAGGCAAAAAUGGAUGUAUUUAGAACUAAAAUACAUCUACAUACAUCCCUUUUUAUUCAUUUUGAUUACAAGUAUUUCCAGACGGAUGGAGUAUUAG